UACGUAGGUGGCAAGCGUUGUCCGGAUUUACUGGGCGUAAAGGGCGCGUAGGCGGCCUGUUAAGUCGAACGUGAAAUCCCUGGGCUCAACCCAGGAACUGCGUCCGAUACUGGCAGGCUUGAAUCCGGGAGAGGGAUGCGGAAUUCCAGGUGUAGCGGUGAAAUGCGUAGAUAUCUGGAGGAACACCGGUGGCGAAGGCGGCAUCCUGGACCGGCAUUGACGCUGAGGCGCGAAAGCCAGGGGAGCAAACGGG
rnacentral:rRNA from 1 species